rnacentral:rRNA from 1 species
GAAGGCCUUCGGGUCGUAAACUCCUGUCGACCGGGACGAACGCUAUUGGGCCCAAUACGCCCGAUAGUCGACUGUACCGGUGGAGGAAGCCACGGCUAACUCUGUGCCAGCAGCCGCGGUAAUACAGAGGUGGCAAGCGUUGUUCGGAAUUACUGGGCGUAAAGGGCGCGUAGGCGGUCUGGUCAGUCCCUUGUGAAAUCCCCCGGCUCAACUGGGGAACUGCACGGGAAACAGCCGGGCUUGAGUUCGGGAGAGGGAAGCGGAAUUCCGGGUGUAGCGGUGAAAUGCGUAGAUAUCCGGAGGAACACCGGUGGCGAAGGCGGCUUCCUGGACCGAUACUGACGCUGAGGCGCGAAAGCUAGGGGAGCAAACGGGAUUAGAUACCCCGGUAGUCCUAGCUGUAAACGAUGAGUGCUGGGUGUAGAGGGUAUUAACCCCUUCUGUGCCGAAGCUAACGCAUUAAGCACUCCGCCUGGGGAGUACGGUCGCAAGGCUGAAACUCAAAGG